rnacentral:rRNA from 1 species
UACGUAGGGUGCGAGCGUUAAUCGGAAUACUGGGCGUAAAGCGUGCGCAGGCGGUUAUUUAAGUCAGGUGUGAAAGCCCUGGGCUUAACCUAGGAAUUGCGCUUGAGACUGGAUAGCUUGGAGUGCGGCAGAGGGAGGUGGAAUUCCACGUGUAGCAGUGAAAUGCGUAGAGAUGUGGAGGAAUACCGAUGGCGAAGGCGAAUCUCUGGACAGUUACUGACACUGAGGCAGCGAAGGACCAGGGGAGCAAAGCGG